CAGCAGGGCAAAACAGGAGCUGAUUCGAGCUGGCAGCGCUGGGCCAUGGAACCGGUAGAGACCUGGACCCCCGGAAAGGUGGCAACUUGGCUGAGAGGUCUUGACGACUCCCUGCAGGACUAUCCCUUUGAGGACUGGCAGCUGCCUGGCAAGAACCUGCUCCAGCUCUGCCCCCGAAGCCUCGAGGCUCUGGCUGUGCGGUCUCUGGGACACCAGGAGCUCAUCCUGGGCGGGGUGGAACAGCUCCAGGCCCUGAGCUCCAGGCUACAGACAGAGAACCUGCAAAGCCUGACAGAGGGACUGCUGGGGGCAACCCAUGACUUCCAGAGCAUAGUCCAAGGCUGCCUGGGGGACUGUGCCAAGACCCCUAUUGAUGUCCUCUGUGCGGCUGUGGAGCUGGUGCAUGAAGCUGACGCCCUCCUCUUCUGGCUCAGCAGGUACCCGGGUUGGGGUGACGAGUGAGGGACUAUUGUCAUCCUUGGCCUCCUUCAGGGCGUGGGAGAGAAAAACAGAGCUUGGCUCUUGUUCAGAUAUGGUGAGCCAGGCGUGGUGGCUUAGGUCUGUAAUCCCAGCACUUUGGGAGGCCGAAGCGGGCAGAUCACUUGAGGUCAGGAGUUCGAGACC
rnacentral:sRNA from 1 species